GACGAACCGUGCGAACGUUGUUCGGAAUCACUGGGCUUAAAGGGCGCGUAGGCGGCCCGCCGCGUCCGGGGUGAAAUCCUCCCGCUCAACGGGAGAACGGCCUCGGAUACGGGCGGGCUGGAGGGGGGUAGGGGCACGCGGAACUGUGGGUGGAGCGGUGAAAUGCGUUGAGAUCCACAGGAACUCCGGUGGCGAAAGCGGCGUGCUGGACCUUUUCUGACGCUGAGGCGCGAAAGCUAGGGGAGCAAACGGG
rnacentral:rRNA from 1 species